GUACACUCCUGCGGGAGGCAGCAGUGGGGAAUUUUGGACAAUGGGCGAAAGCCUGAUCCAGCAAUGCCGCGUGAGUGAAGAAGGCCUUCGGGUUGUAAAGCUCUUUUGUCAGGGAAGAAACGGUGAAAGCUAAUAUCUUUUGCUAAUGACGGUACCUGAAGAAUAAGCACCGGCUAACUACGUGCCAGCAGCCGCGGUAAUACGUAGGGUGCAAGCGUUAAUCGGAAUUACUGGGCGUAAAGCGUGCGCAGGCGGUUUUGUAAGUCUGAUGUAAAAUCCCCGGGCUCAACCUGGGAAUUGCAUUGGAGACUGCAAGGCUAGAAUCUGGCAGAGGGGGGUAGAAUUCCACGUGUAGCAGUGAAAUGCGUAGAUAUGUGGAGGAACACCGAUGGCGAAGGCAGCCCCCUGGGUCAAGAUUGACGCUCAUGCACGAAAGCGUGGGGAGCAAACAGGAUUAGAUACCCCUGUAGUCCCAUG
rnacentral:rRNA from 1 species